rnacentral:rRNA from 1 species
AAUAUAGAGACCUGGAGCGGCGCACGGGUGAGUAACGCGUACACGACCUGGCCUAAACUGGGGGAUAGCCUUGGGAAACUGAGAAUAAUCCCGCAUGUGAUCAUUGGACUGCAUGGUUUGAUAAUUAAAGCUACGGCGGUUUAGGAUGGGUGUGCGUCUGAUUAGCUAGUUGGCAGUGUAACGGACUACCAAGGCGAUGAUCAGUAGGGGGCGUGAGAGCGUGACCCCCCACACGGGUACUGAGACACGGACCCGACUCCUACGGGAGACAGCAGUAAGGAAUAUUGGUCAAUGCCCGGAAGGGUGAACCAGCCAUCCCGCGUGAAGGAUGAAGGGGCUCUGCCUUGUAAACUUCUUUUGUAUGGGGCGAAAAAAGGGGAUUUAUCCUCGACUGACGGUACCAUAAGAAUAAGCACCGGCUAACUCCGUGCCAGCAGCCGCGGUAAUACGGAGGGUGCAAGCGUUAUCCGGAAUCACUGGGUUUAAAGGGUGCGUAAGCUGUUUAAUAAGUCAGUGGUGAAAGGCCCGUCGCUUAACGAUGGGACUGGCAUUGAUACUGU